UAGGGUUGUUUUCGAUGGUGAAAUGCUAACUGCCUUUCGGAUGUCAUAAAAAAUGAACGAUAACGUCGGUUAGGUAGGUACUAUAAGGUGCUGAAAGCCUGUUGAUACAAAAAAGGUGCCUUAAACUUCGCAUUUGCAGAGAGAUUAUUUCUACUAGGCUUAUUCCAAACCCUAUCUCUAUACAAACAACAAACAGAAUCCAACCCGCUCUUAACUUACCUUAUCUCUAUACAAACAAACAGAAUCCAACCCGCUCUUAACUUACCCUCAACCCAUACCUUACUUAAGGAAGAGGCACUUACUGUUAUAGAAUCGCAUUAUUGACUUCGCGCCUUUCCCACCCUUUUGACUCGGUUCGGUCAAGUAUCUCCUUUCGAGCUUGCCCUCUGCAAUCGACAUGGAAAGAAAGAGAACAAUCAACGGAACUAGAGCUUUAGGCAAGGCAAUAAGUAGUAGCAGCCUAAGUACUUACGUAUGCGAAACGAACAAGUUAGCGAGUCCAACAAGUAAGUAAAGAACUGGAACUCGUGGAGCUACAGCAGGACAGUAAGAUUUCACUGAAAGGGAUGCAGUGCGGUAUCUCGGAUCAAGUAAGCGGAACGGUAGCAAAGCCAAGAAAUCUUCUAGGUAGGUACCAAGUAAUAGGUCAGCAGCAAGACAAGAUAUGGUUGGGUAUGAAGUCGGAGUAGUAGGAGUAGGGCUCCGUGGGUCUAUACGAUCUGGAAACACAGAAUUAUUCAAUCAAUAUUCAAGCCUAAUAUCUUUAUUGUAGGGGAGAGAGUGAGAUGAGAGGCAAUGCAAUGAUAGAAGCUUGCAGUAGAGCAGACCAAUACUAUAAUAUAACUAUAAUAGCAGUGGAAAAGCAAUAAUAUCACAAUAAUAGCAGUAUCAAAGUCAGAUGAGAGGUAAUGAUUUAAGUUGAAGUAGAGCAGACCAAUACAGUAUCAAAGUUAGAUGAGAGUGUUUUUGCCGACAUCCGCUCUGCCGCUUCAAGAUACCGAAGUUUAGUAAAGGCCACCCAUUUCAUCAUUUGCUGUCCUUCUGUAGGGAUUGCCCAGGUCUUGAUUCCCAGUCUGGCUUAUUGAUCCACCUUUCUCAUUAGUAAGUCUAAGGGAAAGCACUAAAGUAGAACAAAUCUCUACCCCUUUAUGCUCGUAGUAGUUUUGACGAUGUGAUUGACACAGUGACAAACAAGCCUAAAGAACCAGCAUAUGCGCUUAUCAAGGAAGCAAUGCAAUGGUUCUAGGAGAUUGCCUAAGAAGGAAAUACCAAAGAAAUGAACUCAGCAGCCAAGUCAAGAGAGAUAAGAGUUUGACCUCCGGAUCUAUUUAAUGCGGUGCAGCAGAAUGCACAGAGACAAGAGAGCACCCGGAAGCAGCAAGCCAGCCAUCCAGGGCCCGUCAAAAGCAAGCCUCUUAACGAAUCCCAAGCUCAAAAGUCCGCUAAGCAACUAAGAAGGCAGCGUCUCAGGCCAAUUAUGAUCCUCACCAGCAAUAAGGUGCUCCUGGGGACCCAAUUGAACUUACUACCCGUAAUAAGCCUUACCCUCUUUUCCAUCCUUCUUGCCCUGGAAAGCCUUUUCUCUGCCCGGAGAUAAAGCACUCCCCUGGCCUCCUGGUCUCGACUAUUGAAAAGUGCAUUUCAUCGAUACGCAGGCCAUAUCCGCGAUGAGUUUGUGUAAUACUUUGCUUGCUUGUUGAAUGGAAGAAAAGAAGAUGAUAGACUACUAUUGCUUGUUUGAGUUGGGCUAUCAAAUUAGGGCAAUAAGGCCAUUAUCAUGGUAAGACCUCUGUUCAACGUUACUAAUGUCACAAACCCCGCAGCAAGCAGUGUUUUUCGUUUCUCUAAGGGCUAAGCAGUCUUUCAAAGAAGCGCUGUAGUUUGCUGACUCCUGUCGUGUUGGAUUCUAACUUGGCCUGUAAACUCGCUCGCACCGAUGGUUCUACUACUCAUUCAUAAACAGACAGACAGGGACGCUGACACAAUGGAAAUGGCCUCUGACAGCAAUAUAAUCCCGGCGGUAUUCACUUUUUCACUAAAGUCACCACCUUGUCUUCGAGACACGGGAAGUUCGUCGCUCCACUUCUGACUUCGUAUGGUUCAAUGGACUGGGAAGAACGGUCACUUCUAUCCUUCGGCUCUAUCUCCCCUUCUGUGAAACCUACUAUGCAAGUCACUUUACUAAUCCCGCAUAAAGAAUCUACAUAGUCGUUGGUGAUCUGACUGGAAUGUGGAAGGUCUACUUUCUGGAAUCACAGAUGUUAUAUGCUUCUCGCCUGGGUCUAUGCUUCAACCUGGACGGACGCUGCUUGCCUCUUCCUUUCGCUCGGGAUAUUUAUACUGGAUUUGUCCCCUUC
rnacentral:lncRNA from 1 species